GCCAGCAGCCGCGGUAAGACGUAGGACACAAGCGUUAUCCGGAUUUACUGGGCGUAAAGCGUCUGCAGGCGGACAGGUAAGUUGGGCGUGAAAGCUCCGGGCCCAACCCGGAGAGGUCGUUCAAUACUGCGUGUCUAGAGGGUGUCAGAGGGGAGUGGAAUUUCCGGAGUAGCGGUAAAAUGCGCAGAGAUCGGAAAGAACACCAAUGGCGAAGGCAGCUCCCUGGGGCAACCCUGACGCUAAGAGACGAAAGCUAGGGGAGCGAACAGGAUUAGAGACCCUGGUAGUCCUAGCCCUAAACGAUGGAUGCUGGAUGUGGGGCCAUAGCGCUCCGUGUCGAAGCGAACGCGUUAAGCAUCCCGCCUGGGGACUACGGCCGCAAGGUUAAAACUCAAACGAAUUGACGGGACCCCGCACAAGCAGCGGAGCGUGUGGUUUAAUUCGAUGCUACACGAAGAACCUUACCUGGGUUUGACAUCUAGGUGGUAGUGAAGCGAAAGCGGAGCGACCCUUCGGGGAGCCUAGACAGGUGCUGCAUGGCUGUCGUCAGCUCGUGCCGUGAGGUGUCGGGUUAAGUCCCGUAACGAGCGCAACCCUUGCCCUCCGUUAUACGUGUCAGAGGGGACUGCCGGCGGUAAGCCGGAGGAAGGUGGGGAUGACGUCAAGUCAGCAUGGCCUUUAUAUCCAGGGCUACACACACGCUACAAUGGCCAGUACAAAGGGCAGCGAAGCCGCGAGGUGGAGCGAAUCCCAGCAAAGCUGGUCGUAGUUCGGAUUGCAGGCUGCAACCCGCCUGCAGAAGCUGGAGU
rnacentral:rRNA from 1 species